CUCCAGACUCCUACGGGAGGCAGCAGUGGGGAAUAUUGCACAAUGGGGGAAACCCUGAUGCAGCGACGCCGCGUGAGCGAUGAAGUAUUUCGGUAUGUAAAGCUCUAUCAGCAGGGAAGAAGAUGACAGUACCUGACUAAGAAGCCCUGGCUAACUACGUGCCAGCAGCCGCGGUAAUACGUAGGGGGCAAGCGUUAUCCGGAUUUACUGGGUGUAAAGGGAGCGUAGACGGCGAUGCAAGCCAGAUGUGAAAGCCCGGGGCUCAACCCCGGGACUGCAUUUGGAACUGUGUGGCUGGAGUGUCGGAGAGGCAGGCGGAAUUCCUAGUGUAGCGGUGAAAUGCGUAGAUAUUAGGAGGAACACCAGUGGCGAAGGCGGCCUGCUGGACGAUGACUGACGUUGAGGCUCGAAAGCGUGGGGAGCAAACAGGAUGAGAUACCCUGGUAC
rnacentral:rRNA from 1 species